CGAGAAUCUUCGGCAAUGGGCGAAGCCUGACCGAGCGACGCCGCGUGUGCGAUGAAGGCCUUCGGGGUUGUAAAGCACUGUCGUGGGGGAGAAAAGCCGCAAGGCUUGAUCGACCCCAGGAGGAAGCACGGGCUAAGUUCGUGCCAGCAGCCGCGGUAAGACGAACCGUGCGAACGUUAUUCGGAAUCACUGGGCUUAAAGGGCGCGUAGGCGGGCCGGCAAGUCCGGGGUGAAAGCCCCCAGCUCAACUGGGGAAGUGCCUCGGAUACUGCCGGCCUCGAGGGAGUAGGGGCGUGCGGAACUUCCGGUGGAGCGGUGAAAUGCGUAGAUAUCGGAAGGAACACCGGUGGCGAAAGCGGCGCGCUGGACCUCUUCUGACGCUGAGGCGCGAAAGCCAGGGGAGCGAACGGGAUUAGAUACCCCGGUAGUCCUGGCCCUAAACGUUGGGUACUAGGUUGUGGACUUACAUGGGUUCACAGCCGAAGCAAAAGUAUUUAGUACCCCGCCUGGGGAGUAUGGUCGCAAGGCUG
rnacentral:rRNA from 1 species